GAUGAACGCUGGCGGCGUGCCUAAUACAUGCAAGUCGAGCGAACGGACGAGAAGCUUGCUUCUCUGAUGUUAGCGGCGGACGGGUGAGUAACACGUGGAUAACCUACCUAUAAGACUGGGAUAACUUCGGGAAACCGGAGCUAAUACCGGAUAAUAUUUUGAACCGCAUGGUUCAAAAGUGAAAGACGGUCUUGCUGUCACUUAUAGAUGGAUCCGCGCUGCAUUAGCUAGUUGGUAAGGUAACGGCUUACCAAGGCAACGAUGCAUAGCCGACCUGAGAGGGUGAUCGGCCACACUGGAACUGAGACACGGUCCAGACUCCUACGGGAGGCAGCAGUAGGGAAUCUUCCGCAAUGGGCGAAAGCCUGACGGAGCAACGCCGCGUGAGUGAUGAAGGUCUUCGGAUCGUAAAACUCUGUUAUUAGGGAAGAACAUAUGUGUAAGUAACUGUGCACAUCUUGACGGUACCUAAUCAGAAAGCCACGGCUAACUACGUGCCAGCAGCCGCGGUAAUACGUAGGUGGCAAGCGUUAUCCGGAAUUAUUGGGCGUAAAGCGCGCGUAGGCGGUUUUUUAAGUCUGAUGUGAAAGCCCACGGCUCAACCGUGGAGGGUCAUUGGAAACUGGAAAACUUGAGUGCAGAAGAGGAAAGUGGAAUUCCAUGUGUAGCGGUGAAAUGCGCAGAGAUAUGGAGGAACACCAGUGGCGAAGGCGACUUUCUGGUCUGUAACUGACGCUGAUGUGCGAAAGCGUGGGGAUCAAACAGGAUUAGAUACCCUGGUAGUCCACGCCGUAAACGAUGAGUGCUAAGUGUUAGGGGGUUUCCGCCCCUUAGUGCUGCAGCUAACGCAUUAAGCACUCCGCCUGGGGAGUACGACCGCAAGGUUGAAACUCAAAGGAAUUGACGGGGACCCGCACAAGCGGUGGAGCAUGUGGUUUAAUUCGAAGCAACGCGAAGAACCUUACCAAAUCUUGGCAUCCUUUGACAACUCUAGAGAUAGAGCUUUCCCCUUCGGGGGACAAAGUGACAGGUGGUGCAUGGUUGUCGUCAGCUCGUGUCGUGAGAUGUUGGGUUAAGUCCCGCAACGAGCGCAACCCUUAAGCUUAGUUGCCAUCAUUAAGUUGGGCACUCUAAGUUGACUGCCGGUGACAAACCGGAGGAAGGUGGGGAUGACGUCAAAUCUUCAUGCCCCUUAUGAUUUGGGCUACACACGUGCUACAAUGGACAGUACAAAGGGCAGCGAAACCGCGAGGUCAAGCAAAUCCCAUAAAGUUGUUCUCAGUUCGGAUUGUAGUCUGCAACUCGACUACAUGAAGCUGGAAUCGCUAGUAAUCGUAGAUCAGCAUGCUACGGUGAAUACGUUCCCGGGUCU
rnacentral:rRNA from 1 species